UACAGAGGUCUCAAGCGUUUGUUCGGAUUCAUUGGGCGUAAAGGGUGCGUAGGCGGCGCGGUAAGUCGGGUGUGAAAUCUUGGAGCUUAACUCCGAAACUGCAUUCGAUACUGCCGUGCUUGAGGACUGGAGAGGAGACUGGAAUUUACGGUGUAGCGGUGAAAUGCGUAGAUAUCGUAAGGAAGACCAGUGGCGAAGGCGGGUCUCUGGACAGUUCCGUGACGCUGAGGCA
rnacentral:rRNA from 1 species